AUCUCCUGGACUGACCCAUGUUGCUGGUGCCCAGUCCCCCUGACCUCAGGAGAGCCAGACCCACCCUCAGCAGAAGACCCCUCUGGUGGCCCCUCCCCAACCGCUCCACUCAGGAGUCUCAGGUGACCCCACUGCAGAUGUGCUUCAGCACAGAGGGUAUCACAUGUGGCCACCACCAAGAUCACUUCUGCGAUAGCAGGAGUGGAGAUGACUGUCCUGGGGCUUGCCCCACGCCAUCUGCAGAGCAGGCCAGAGGUCUCAGGAGAGAGGACCCUGGAGGAGUGCCAGCCCCAGACCCAGUAGGUGGUCCUCGUGGUCUUAGCCCCACGUUUCUGAGAGGUAAGGGCCCUCCCCCAGCAGAAAGCCCACAGGCCUCACCCUGGCUGCUUCCCGUUGUGUGCCAGUAUCCAGAAGACGUCACCUGCGCCCUGGGCUCACACACUCAUCACCGCAGCAGAGAGAGCCAGAGCCAGCAGGCCUGGCCAGUGUAUCAUGCCAAGUCCCAGACAAUAAACGCUCCAGGAGGAACAUGUCCUAUGCCGUUGUGCUGUUGGUCCCAGGGCUUGCUUCCAUCUCAGAAGGGCUGCUGCACCCUGGAGAGACGAGAGGUGGGGAGUGGAGCAACACACGUGGCACCUGGGUGCCCGAUGACAGAGACCCCUGAGAUACCAUGGCCUCCGUGGUUGCACUCCUGGAUUCCGAGCUGUGACAUUUCCUGUUGUUUCUCCUUCCCUGGUGGACAAGGGGCUUCCUGCCGCUGUUAG
rnacentral:lncRNA from 1 species